ACACGCUGGCGGCGUGCUUAAUACAUGCAAGUCAACUUGACUUUAGAUAGCAAUAUCGAAAAGUAGGGUGGCGCACGGGUGCGUAACGCGUAGGUAAUCUGCCCUGAGGUCUGACAUAACCCGUCGAAAGGCGGGCUAACAUCAGAUGAUAUAUAAUCACGACAUCGUGGAAAUAUCAAAUCUUCGGAGCCUUGGGAUGAGCCUGCGUCUGAUUAGGUAGUUGGCGGAGUAAUAGCCCACCAAGCCUACGAUCAGUAGCUGGUCUGAGAGGAUGAUCAGCCACACUGGAACUGAGACACGGUCCAGACUCCUACGGGAGGCAGCAGUAAGGAAUAUUGCUCAAUGGGGGGAAACCCUGAAGCAGCAACGCCGCGUGAAGGAUGAAAUACUUUGUAUGUAAACUUCUGUAAGAUGGGAAAAAUAUUCUCCUCGGGAGAAUUGAUUGUACCAUCAGAGUAAGCCCCGGCUAACUACGUG
rnacentral:rRNA from 1 species